GGUGAAUAGUGUAAUAAGAAAAUAAAUAGAAAAAUUUGAGGGAAGGCUAGGUUACUCUACAUGUAAUCGGAAAUUGGAAGAAAAGAGGCAGUCAAGGAAUUGGAAGAGGGAAAGGUAAAAAACCAUAGUCAAAAGUUUGAAGCUUCAAUUUCGAGGUAAGGGGGAUUUUUUUAUUGAUGGGUGAUAAUAGGCAGUCUGGGUGGUGAAGGAUCCUU
rnacentral:lncRNA from 1 species